CGGCGUGCUUAACACAUGCAAGUCGAGCGGUAAGGCCCUUCGGGGUACACGAGCGGCGAACGGGUGAGUAACACGUGAGCAACCUGCCCCUGACUCUGGGAUAAGCGGUGGAAACGCCGUCUAAUACCGGAUACGACCUUCCGCCUCAUGGUGGAGGGUGGAAAGUUUUUUCGGUCAGGGAUGGGCUCGCGGCCUAUCAGCUUGUUGGUGGGGUAACGGCCUACCAAGGCGAUUACGGGUAGCCGGCCUGAGAGGGCGACCGGCCACACUGGGACUGAGACACGGCCCAGACUCCUGCGGGAGGCAGCAGUGGGGAAUAUUGCGCAAUGGGCGAAAGCCUGACGCAGCGACGCCGCGUGGGGGAUGACGGCCUUCGGGUUGUAAACCUCUUUUACCACCAACGCAGGCUCCGGGUUCUCUCGGGGUUGACGGUAGGUGGGGAAUAAGGACCGGCUAACUACGUGCCAGCAGCCGCGGUAAUACGUAGGGUCCGAGCGUUGUCCGGAAUUAUUGGGCGUAAAGAGCUCGUAGGCGGCGUGUCGCGUCUGCUGUGAAAGACCGGGGCUUAACUCCGGUUCUGCAGUGGAUACGGGCAUGCUAGAGGUAGGUAGGGGAGACUGGAAUUCCUGGUGUAGCGGUGAAAUGCGCAGAUAUCAGGAGGAACACCGGUGGCGAAGGCGGGUCUCUGGGCCU
rnacentral:rRNA from 1 species